ACUUACGGCCAUACCACUCUGUCUGCCCCCGCUAUCAUCUGAUCUUAGAAGCUAAGCAGGGUCGGGCCUGGUUAGUACCUGGAUGGGAGACUUCCUGGGAAUACCAGGUGCUCUAAGCU
rnacentral:rRNA from 1 species